rnacentral:lncRNA from 1 species
GUGGACCAUUAGAUUGGCCUGUGGCAUGAUGCUAAGGGAGGAUGGCCACACCAGUGCUCCUGAUACUAGAAACAUUAGUCAUAAAAUCCUCUCUUGCUUUAGGAACUUUCCUGUAUCCUUUUUUUUUUUUUUACAAUAAUAAUUAAAAAUAGAUAUGAUUUAUUUACUACUUGCUAUGUGCUGGGCAACACAGACAAUAAACCGUUGGAAAAGCAGGAUGAAUAUUGAGAAGAAAAUGGUGGUUGGAAUAUAGAUUUGGGCAUAGAGACAAUGGUUGACUUUCCCAGACAAUUACUGAGCCUGUGGUGGGAUUCACGAGAAAGGAUGAAAUCACAGGAGGAAAGUCUGUGAUGUUCGGGAGAAGAACGGCCGCUCACAGAUCCUGGGGAUCCUCAACAUCCUGGUGGAAGAGGAGCGCCCAGGAAGAUUAACUGAACAAGGGAAGUCACAGCGAUGGUUGCAAGAGGGCUCCUGUAUCUCCAGGCAUCACACCCAUGUUCCAAGAGAGAAGAAAUGGGGAAAGAAGGAAUAGAGAAUGUCACAGGGUUGAAGGGGCAUGCCAUCUGAAUCCCACCUUUUCUCAAAAAGUUUUUGCGGAAGCUGAUCCGUGCAUGCCAACCUCACCAGCCAGAAUUGGCUUUCAUAGCUGCUCCUAGUUACAAGGGAGUCUGGGAUGGUGAAUGUUGUAGACUUCCAGCUUCUUUAGUUGAGGAAGGCAAGGGAGGAGGGGUGUGUCAAUGGCUUUUGGAAGCCAAUUUUCAGUGUUUACUACAGAGCAGGGCUCACCUUGCCAAUGGAGCCUUGAUGUGAGGAAGGGGAUGGAGGGAUGUGGCAGUGGGAUAUGACGCUCAGGAGGGAAACCUAACAGGGAGCAAACAGCAGGGCUCUGGGCCCUGUAUGGCUUGGACCUAAACAUCUUGUCUGGUCCCAGCCAAGGAGCCCAGCCCCAAGACUUGGCUCCUCUGAAAUCAGCCCUAACCAGCUGCUGCCAAAGGGGUAAACACAUUCCAAGUCCUUGAGUCCCUGCUGACUGUAACUGUGGUUAAGGCACCCCCCCCGCCCCAAUCUGGGCUCAUGGAAAGUUCACUAGAGUUGUGUUGUUUUAGUGAUGAUUUGUGGUUAUCCGUGCUCCUUGUCAUUGACGGGGAGUUGAAUACCUACACAUGAAUGUUAUCUA